UUCAGGGAUCUAUAUUUUACUUGGAGUCCUUCUUUUUGGAUGUUUCACUAAUAACCCCCUGGCUUUUAAUGCAGAAUUGACAGUUGUCAGCUGCACGAUGGACACGCUUGUUGUCAGGGUAACAAACGCCUCAAGCACUGGGAUCAUCUACGUUCUUGGUCAAGGCGACGCUUGUCGACUAGAAACCUCUCCACAUAAAGUUUUGUACCAGUUUGAUUUCGCCCUAUGUGGCAUAUCUUGGCAACUGGUACUGCGGAUCAUUAUACAGAAGGAGAAGAACUACCAGACAGGAGCGGACAAGAAGAUCCCGGUGUUGUGUGUGGCCGAUACCAGUGACAUCGUGGCAUCCAACCUACU